UACAGAGGGUGCAAGCGUUAAUCGGAAUUACUGGGCGUAAAGCGUGCGUAGACGGUUACAUAAGUCGGGUGUGAAAGCCCCGGGCUCAACCUGGGAAUUGCAUUCGAGACUGCGUAGCUAGGGUGCGGAAGAGGGAAGCGGAAUUUCCGGUGUAGCGGUGAAAUGCGUAGAUAUCGGAAGGAACACCAGUGGCGAAAAGCGGCUUCCUGGUCCAGCACCGACGUCAGGCACGAAAGCGUGGGGAGCAAACAGGG
rnacentral:rRNA from 1 species